rnacentral:rRNA from 1 species
UACGUAGGGGGGCGAGCGUUGUCCGGAUUCAUUGGGCGUAAAGAGCUCGUAGGCGGCUUGGCAAGUCGGGUGUGAAAACUCCAGGCUCAACCUGGAGACGCCACCCGAUACUGCCAUGGCUUGAGUCCGGUAGGGGACCACGGAAUUCCUGGUGUAGCGGUGAAAUGACGCAGAUAUCAGGAGGAACACCGGUGGCGAAGGCGGUGGUCUGGGCCGGUACUGACGCUGAGGUGCGAAAGCGUGGGGAGCAAACAGG